UAGCCACCCCAGGGAGCACCAGGUGACCAGGCGAGGUGCCUGCCAGGCGCAUUGUGUUCAUUGCUUUUUUUUUUUUUUUUUUUUUUUGAGACAGAGUCUUGCUCUUUCGCCCAGGCCGGAGUGUAGUGGCGCUAUCUCGGCUCACUGCAAGCUCCGCCUCCCGGGUUCACGCCAUUCUCCUGCCUCCGGCUUCCAAGUAGCUGGGAAUACAGGCGCCCGCCACCACGCCCGGCUAAUAUUUUUGUAUUUUUAGUAUAGACAGGGUUUCACCGUGUUAGCCAGGAUGGUCUUGAUCUCCUGACCUCGUGAUCCGCCCGCCUCGGCCUCCGAAAGCGCUGGGAUUACAGGCGUGAGCCACCGCGCCCGGCCAUUGCUUUCUUGCAGCAACUGGGGAUUGUUGAUUCGGGACCCCUAGUCGGAGGGUGAUUUACACGUCAGUUGCAGCGCGUUGGUCAAUGUUCCAGGCUGUCAGCUCGGCACCGCCCUCAGGGCUCAAGCUACACAGGGCAUUGAAAGCAGGAAUUCUGUCAUUACAGCCCCAGGAAAAUGGAAGAAGAGGAAAAUGAAAAAAGACAAAAGGGAUAUGAUGCUGGGCAAAAUCCCACCAAAAUCAGACGUAGGAAGGAAUCCAGCCCUUUUGCCCAGUAGAAUUAUGGGGGAAAAGGAGAAGCAAAUGGCGAGACACUUGAAUUCCAAGCUCUCCUCUUGAAGUGGAAGCCGUAGAGAAAGGAGGCAUGUUAGGUUGAAGAAAGAUGGUGAGGUUCCCAGAGACUAGCCACUUCAGGAAGCUCUUCUUACCCUUCGGGAUAAAGGGAGCAGAGAAGGAAAAAGCAGAGUCCAUGGAAUCAUGGGGACACACAGCAAUGCCAGAGACUUCUUGCCAAAGCAAGGAGCGAGCAGGGAAGAAAAGCUCCCACCUCUCACCUUCCAAACCUCAGGCUCCUGCUGGUGUCUCCCAUUAACCAAAACCACAGACACCAACCAGCAAGAAAGCCAGGGACCUAGAGUCAGUAGGGGUAAAUAGAGCCUUUCAGGACACGGAGAAGGGCAGGCAAAGGCACAGAUGGGUGUAGCCAGGGGCAGCAAGGGGAGAAUAACCAGGCACCUCCUUCCAUUCCAGCAUGAGGGCCUGGAAGCCCCUCUUUCUUGCACAUGCACAUGCCAUGCUGGGGAGCGGCAAUGGGAGUUCCGAAAUACUGAACAUUUAUCUAGAGACUGAGUCACUUAAAGCAACUGCUGAAAUUAUUGAAACAGACUGUUUUCUAAUCUAGACUAAAAUAUACUAUAUUUUUCUCUCUAUCCAUCAGUCCAUUGUAAUGAAAAUUUAAUCAAUUACUUAAAGCAAUAAAAGAAACUACAUUUUUAUUGUACAACUUACUGAAGUGUGAGGAAAUGGGUGGAUCCUUCCCACUUUGUAUCCUCUCUACCGUUCUCUACUUCCAAGGUAACUGAGGUGACUUAACAAUGAAACAAGUCAGAAAUGUCCUGAUAGAGACCAAAGGAAGACAAUAUUUCAGACUCCUCUGCGUCUGUAGCAGCAUGUGUUUCUAGGAUUGUUCUGGAAGAGAAAAUGCAGAAACAGCAGGGAGCAGAAGAUAAACAGGCAAUCCGUGACUCAUUAAAACAAGCAUUGGUCGCCAACAUUGUGGAGUGUGUGAAGACCCCAGAUCCAACUCGCCUAUAAACUUUUUUUUACCAGCUGGACUUAGCAUCUGCCAGAGUUUGGAAAGAGAGAUAAUCUGGUACAAAUGAUUUCAGUGUGUCGCAUUUAUUAACCUGCCACCUUACAUAACUCUGCUGAUUGGGAACUCAGGGAAAUGUUUGAGCAAUGACACAGCUUAUUGUUGGAAUGUUACAACUUUACUAAUAAAGAUGCAAGUUACUGUUUAAAAAAAAAUACAAAGACCACAGAGCAAUUGGAAAAUAAAAAUGAAGCAAAGCUAAAAAGCAUCAUGGUCUUGAGAAAUGUACGUGCCAGAAAAAUAAUUGAAAUUCAGUUUGAAUUUUGAUCAUUUUCAGUGCUUUACAUCAAUUAGGCAGGAAAAGUAUUUUAUUUUUAAAUAGUUGUCACAUUAGUUUGUCUUAACAGCUUUGAUGUAAAUAAAUGCCAAACUGGGAGCAUUAUCAUGUCCUUUCCAAACUACUUACUGUUCUAAAUGAAUGAUUCGCUUCUGUUGUUAAAUCUCUGACAAUUGCUAGAAGGGCAUUUUCACAGUAGAACUGAAGGAAAAGUAAAAUAGUGCCCAUUUUUGUUUAUAUACAAAACCGUGUCCAUUUUUGUCUUAAACAGCCUGCCUGGCUUCACAGUUUAUUAAAGACAAAGAACAUUACCCCAGGAAUAAAAUCAGUACCGAUAACCUGCAUACUUUUCAUUCUUGGGCUUUGAUUUACUUCCUUUUUUGCCUCAAAGUUUGCUUGGGAUCAUUUGGUCAAGAGGUGGAAACACCAAAGAGCAAUUUUCUUUUUUCUAUUUCUUAUCCAGAUCUCAUGCCAGUAAUUUCAAAUUAAUGAGGAUGUUUACUCUCUGGUACAAAAUUUGCACAUACUAGCUUAUAAAAUAUGGAUAAGCUGGUUUCCUAUAACAAAAUAUAGCCCUACCAUUUCAAAAAUGAAAACUGCAGAGACUUUGGAAAAAAAUCAGCUGAAGGAAUUCUUCACGUUUCACAAUGGUUAGCCUAUUAUUUGUAGUUUUGAAACUUUAUUGGUCCCCAAUCUAAUCUUUUCUGAGUAUAAAAACAUUAACAUAUGGUUUAACACAGCACAGGGCUGGAAAGUCCAUAUCCCAAAUGCAUAUUGUAUGCAGGGUGACAUUCACACUAAAUACCAUCCCUCAGGGUCUGUACUCCAUUUUACCUGGGAUUGGAGAGCCAUGAAAUCCCUGGAAAAGUUGUUCAUGAGUCUGAACCAAAUGGUGUGCAGUGUACUGAGAUACUAACAGUCUAUGCUUCUGCCAAAGGUUGCGGCUCAAAUGUCUCUCUAAGUAACAUUAAAAAUCUGCUGCUUCAUGCCUAUGAAUUUCAAUAUUUAUAGCAUUCAAUAAAACGGUCCACUGUCAGAGAGAGAUGUGCCACUGUGCACUCUCUGAGCAGAUGGGCGGCAAUAUGGCACAUUUACAUGGACCAGCUGUGGAGCGCAGAAAUGGAUGCUGGUCAGGGGCAAGGUGCAGGCCCCACAUCUGGAAUUCUAACCGACUGGCCUCGGUACCCAUUGUAAACUUUCCUUCCACAGGGUGAGCUCUGAUUUAGAGCUGCUCACUAGUGUGCCUUAAACUGCAUCAAGAGUCCUCAUUAACGCAAGAGACUAGAGGGAGGUUAGGGCCUGGAAUCCCUCUGUCGGGCAUCUGUUAGAGUCUGUGGAUGGCACUCUGUAGUCGUUAUAGAUGCACCCAGGGGAAGAUUCUCUCAGGCAUGAUGCAGUGUUCUCUAUUUAACUGAUUUUAUACCCCCAAAAAAGAGGUUUUUAUUAUAAACAGAGCUACUUUUUCCAUAUCCCCUUUUCUAAAUGGAUCAGAAUAUACCUCAGAGAAAGGACAAUUUCUAGAAUAUUUAAAAAUUUCGUAGAAAUGUCGAAUUCUUUUUUCAAGUCUCAAAUGGAACGUUGUCUUAUUUUGGGUAGAAUCAGAAUGGUUCAAAUGCAGUUAGAAGUUUCUAAAAUAUAUGAAAUUCUUAGACUAGCUGUUUUCAUUGUAGUAUCACUAUUCAGACAAUCAAAACAGCUUAGUUGUGUGUCAUUUAAAUAAUUCAACUGACUUGAUAGAAAGGUAAGCUGCUUUUGACAUUUUAAAUAUGAACAAGAAAUGGUUUGUUACAUUCAAAUACUCAUCAGAAAUAACAUUCCUGUUUCAUUUUCAAUAAAUACUUUUAAGAGAAAGUUCUACUCAUUCUUUCAUUUUGUAAAAUAAUCUUUCCCACAUUUUCCAAUUAUUGACUAAGAUGUAUUUGGUCUUCAGUGGUCCCAUCUCUUGAAUAGUUGUUUAUAUCCUUACGUUACUGAGUAUUCAUUUUCUAUGACAAUCUCUCAAGAUCUAUUCCAGUCUCCUUUCACCCCCAAGAGAAACGCAGGUAUUUUAAGCAAGUGAGACAAUACAACUCGUUAUCAAAUGGGUUAUGGUAACUCAAUCAUGUAAUGUAUGGAUAUUUUAGGGUCUCAUCAUUCAACACUCAACUUUAAAACUACUCUGAAAUCUAAACAUAGAUAUGUAUUUAUGCUAUUUGGCCUCAAUCUUCAAAAAGGAAAAUUUUGGCCAGGCGCGUUGGCUCACGCCUGUAAUUCCAGCACUUUGAGAGGCCGAGGGGGGCAGAUCACCUGAGGUCAGGAGUUCGAGACCAGCCUGGCCAACACGGAGAAACCCCAUCUCUACCAAAAGUACAAAACUAGCCAGGCGUGGUGGCACGUGCCUGUAAUUCCAGCCACGCAGGAGGCUGAGGCAGGAGAAUAGCUUGAA
rnacentral:lncRNA from 1 species